UUCUACGUCUUUUUUACGUAACAUAGCUCCGAUUCCGUCAUUUCUUCGCUUUAGUUUGAAUACACAGGUUCUAACCUCAUGAGAACUCGAAAUGCAGAUUCGUCUUCCAAAUCCGUAACCCCUAAGAAGACACCAUCAGCAAAAGAAUCCGCCGGAGAAUCUCCCGUCGCAAAGCGCACGUCUCCAUCCAAAACCAGCAGCACCAAGAAGAUGGAAGCAUCGCCCGCAACCGAUCCUAUAUCCGAUCCAAUUCUAAUCAAUCUGAGUAGCAAAAAUCAUUAUCUAGUGCUACUACUGCUGCGAAAUCUGCAAAGAGGAAAACACUAGGUAAACCAAGGAGAACAGUGGUUAUUAUUAAUCCAAAUUUGGAAGAGUAUUUGGUGGCUGAAGCUAAUGAAGCAGCAGAGAAAGUGGCUGAAGCUGGUGAAUCUAGUGAAAUAUCAUAUUUUGGGUUGGCUAGGCUUGACGAAAAGGAUAAAACUCAUAUCAUCACCCGAAUGGCGGGCACAAUGUCAGUUCUCUCUCCCUUGAUCAUUCAACUUGUAAUUUUUUCUUGACUAAGAAUCAUAACCUGUGUUUUGUAGAGGAUAUAUGGCACCGGAAUAUGCUUUAUGGGGUUACUUGAGUUAUAAGGCUGAUGUUUACAGUUUUGUAGAUCUAUAAUAUUCACAUUCAUUCAUGCAGGAAGAACAAUUUCCAAUCUCAAUAAACUUGCAAAGAAUGGUGUGGAAGAACAUGAAUCAAUUAUAGUAGAAAAAUUUAAAAUAGGGUCAAGGCCUCCAGAGUGUGAGAAAAGAUGCAAAAGCAAAAGCUGUAUCCAAUGUGAAGCCAUUAUUAUUCAGCAGCUUAUUCAUCAAGAGGGGAUGGUCUUUCAAACUACAAACCUAUAAGCUGGAAGUGCAAAUUUGAUAAUGAACAUUGUACUGCUGCAAAGGAAGGAGGGGAAGCGUUGAAAGAGGGAGAAUUGAGUAUAUCAGAGGAGUCUCUCAGAGAUUCUAAGCGCAAAUCUUCAACAAUAUCGGAAGCUCCUCAUCCUCGCGAAGCUAAGAAAUUGAAGAUAUGACUUGGGUGGGAAAAAUGUGUCAGAUUACCCUCAUCCUUCUUGUUCUUUUAACUCUGAAAUUAUAAUAGUUGUGGGUAUGAUCCUUCUUGUUCGCUUCACUCUUUCAAGAAAACCCAAAAACUUCAGGAAGUGGGAUCUAUGGCAGGGAAUGAACUUCUCGUUAUCAAAAGCUGAAGCUCGUGUUUAUGGUUCAACUGGAGUAAAGUUUUCUGACGUGGCUGGAAUUGAUGAUGUUGUAGAUGAACUUCAAGAGGGAGUGUUUGGCUCUGCAUUUCAAGUUGGUGUGACUACUUGGUGUUUGCACCAGACAGGACCUGUUUUCAUUCACACAGUCUUGCUGGUGAUACUCCACUAGCUGGUGAAGGACUAUUUAAUAUCCGAACGUUACAUUACAUUUAAUCUAUUUAAAUAAACCUCGACGCUUCACUUCAAUGCAAACUCACUUUUCAAAACUAGCCGUUAUUCAACCCUUAUCUUCCACACACUCAAACACUCUCAACUCUUAAACACUGUCUGUCUAUGGCGACCUCAAUCGACGCACCUUCUUCUCCUCCUCUUCCGCCCAUGAAACAGGAUGAUGAUACAAACGUUGUUAAUUCUUCUUCUUCUCCGCAAUUUAGUUCAUCUUCCGAUAAACGAUUCUGGAGCACUCUUCGUAGUAGAAUGGAUUCGCUUCUCGAUAAUCCUCAACCCAGAAUUUCAGAUUCACAUCAUCCAUCCACCUCUACGGAUCACAUCCCUUCGGUUAAGGAGUAAAAUCUACAAGAUCAAAUGCAAAUGAUUGAAGAGGAUAAAGACAUAGAAAUGUUGUCAAAACAAAAGUCAAAGAAGAAGAAGAAAACUUAUAGAAAGUGUUAUGACUUAGUUAAAAUAUGAUU